UGCAUUAAAGGACGAAAGCCACGCGCGUCAAGUACGUUGUUUUAAUAUUUAGGGAAUUGAUAUAAAGAAGGCAGCGGUGACACCUUUAAAUUGGCGCACGGGAGCGCGGAGACGUGCCCGCCCUGCUCCAGCCGGCGGAGCUCCGUAAUCUGACACAUUGUUGCGAUGGAGCGCCGCUCAGACGCAGCAAAUGCCAGGAGCCGCCGCGUCACCGUGGCCCUUUAAAUGAACUCCGAUGACAGGCAGCAGUAGUACCAGGUGUAUAUUUAACAAUGACCUCCUCUAAGUUACAUUUCACAAACGUAUAUACACGUAUAUGUGCAUCUCUGCGCCCAAGUGUCUUUCAACAAGUCACGGUGAAGGAAAAAAUCUGCUCAAGUUUUAAUUCUUUGUAAUAAUUUAAAGUAUUAAGAAAGAACACAACGUAGACAAAAAUAUAACGGCAAAGAUCGAGGGAAAAAAAAACAUUAGCUAAGUUUGACCGAUCCGCAUAAAAAAUGCACAGGUCACGACCUUAGCUUGAGCAUCCCAUCAUGAAGGAAUUUAACUCUUUGCAACAACGCCGACAGACCUGAUCUCACAUCCUAGUCAUCAAUCACACGUUAGUAUCUACGUCUUCGCUCAAUGCAAGUUGUGAACUUCAUGGUUUAACCGCAAAUGCAUCGCGAAAACUGAAACGUCCGAUGUCACGCAACGCUGAUGCAUGCAAUAACAUCCCGAAGAUCAUUUCAGGAUAUGCUCCAGGCUAACCAAGCAGUCAUGGAUGAAAGGCGGAUGGAUCAGACCCUCUAUAUUGGCAGGUGAUAUGUGGUCCCUUAUAAUACCACAUCAUGCUGGAUGUCUGCAUCAGGAUCACUGGCUCACUGUACCCCUGUGCUGAAAACACAAAAUUGCCCAAAGUGUGUGAUGAUGAUGAUGAUGAUGAUGAUGAUGAUGAUGAU